UCAGGAGGAACACCGAUGGCGAAGGCAGCUCACUGGACAAGCACUGACACUCAGGCACGAAAGCGUGGGGAGCGAAAGGGAUUAGAUACCCCUGUAGUCCACGCCGUAAACUUCGCACACUAGAUGUCGGGGGAUUCGACCCCCUCGGUGUCCCAGCUAACGCGAUAAGUGUGCCGCCUGCGGACUACGGCCGCAAGGCUAAAACGUAAAGGAAUUGGCGGGGCCCCGCACAAGCGGUGGAGCAUGUGGCUUAAUUCGAUGCAACGCGAAGAACCUUACCUGGGCUUGACAUGCACUGGACCGGCUGUGAAAGCAGCCUUCCCUUCGGGGCCGGUGCACAGGUGCUGCAUGGCUGUCGUCAGCUCGUGUCGUGAGAUGUUCGGUUAAGUCCGGCAACGAGCGCAACCCCUGUCUUUAGUUGCCAGCAUUCAGUUGGGGACUCUAAGGAGACAAACCUCCUCUGGAGGUGGGAAGGUGGGGAUGACGUCAAGUCAGUAUGGCCCUUACGUCCAGGGCUGCACACGUGCUACAAUGCCCGGUACAAUGGGAAGCAAGACCGCGAGGUGGAGCAAAUCCAUAAAACCGGGCCCAGUUCGGAUUGGAGUCUGCAACUCGACUCCAUGAAGCCGGAAUCGCUAGUAAUGGCGCAUCAGCAAUGGCGCCGUGAAUACGUUCCCGGGGCUUGCACACACUGCCCGUC
rnacentral:rRNA from 1 species